rnacentral:tRNA from 1 species
ACGAAGCCUGGCUGGCGGUGAGCCGGGGCGUCGACGCCCUCGCCGUCCAGGGUCCGGGAGCCGGGGGACACCGUGGCACGUUCGAUCCGGGCGCCUCGCCC